CUUAGAACGAACGCUGGCGGCGUGCUUAACACAUGCAAGUCGAACGCGAAAGGGACUUCGGUCCUGAGUAAAGUGGCGCACGGGUGAGUAACGCGUAGAUAACCUGUCUUCAUGUCUGGAAUAAUACGCCGAAAGGGGUACUAAUACCGGAUAUUCUUGCUUUUCAUAAGUUAUGCAAGCAAAGGUGGCCUCUGCAUAUGCUACUGCAUGAAGAGGGGUCUGCGUACCAUUAGCUAGUAGGUGGGGUAAUGGCCUACCUAGGCGACGAUGGUUAGCGGGUCUGAGAGGAUGAUCCGCCACACUGGCACUGGAACACGGGCCAGACUCCUACGGGAGGCAGCAGUGAGGAAUAUUGCGCAAUGGGGGAAACCCUGACGCAGCGACGCCGCGUGAGUGAGGAAGGCCUUCGGGUCGUAAAGCUCUGUCAAGAGGAAAGAAGUGUACAAUGGCUAAUACCUGUUGUAUUUGACGGUACCUCUAAAGGAAGCACCGGCUAACUCCGUGCCAGCCGCCGC
rnacentral:rRNA from 1 species